rnacentral:rRNA from 1 species
CUAGUUGGUGAGGUAAAAGCCCACCAAGGCAGAGAUCGGUAGCCGGCCUGAGAGGGCACACGGCCACACUGGCACUGAAACACGGGCCAGACUCCUACGGGAGGCAGCAGUGGGGAAUCUUGCACAAUGGGGGAAACCCUGAUGCAGCGACGCCGCGUGAGCGAUGAAGCCCUUCGGGGUGUAAAGCUCUUUCGGCAGGGAAGAUAGUGACGGUACCUGCAGAAGCAGCUGCGGCUAACUACGUGCCAGCAGCCGCGGUAAUACGAAGGGUGCAAGCGUUAAUCGGAAUUACUGGGCGUAAAGGGUGCGUAGGCGGUUCUUUAAGUUUGGUGUGAAAUCUCCCGGCUUAACUGGGAGGGUGCGCCGAAUACUGAGGGACUAGAGUACGGGAGAGGAAAGUGGAAUUCCUGGUGUAGCGGUGAAAUGCGUAGAUAUCAGGAGGAACACCGGUGGUGUAGACGGCUUUCUGGACCGUAACUGACGCUGAGACACGAAAGCGUGGGUAGCAAACAGGAUUAGAUACCCUGGUAGUCCACGCCCUAAACGAUGCAUAUUUGGUGUGGGCAGUUCAUUCUGUCCGUGCCGGAGCUAACGCGUUAAAUAUGCCGCCUGGGGAGUACAGUCGCAAGGCUGAAACUCAAAGGAAUUGACG